AGAUCUCUGGCUGGACAUCAGAAAUAGCUUUUGAUGGCAUAAAGCCUCCUUCCUGAGACCCCAGGCUUUGACUGGUAGGCACCUGGAUGAGGAAUCCUGGAUCCAGAUCAUCACCCUCCUGCAACAGCAAAGACCAUCCCAUUCCACUAGGUGCAUUCAAGUAAAUCAUCAGGCCAGUACCAAUGGUGGGGUUCUGUCUGUUCAUCCCCAGGUAAAAAUCCUCAGGAGUUUUCCAGACUGGUUCUGCUUCUCAGAUUUCCCAUCAACCACUAGUUUUCUGGUGUUCUUUCUCAUUAAUGAACUUUAUUAUUGACAAUUUCAUGCAUGUGUGCAAUUCAUUACUUUUAUCCAAUUCCCUUUUAUCUUUUCCUCACCCUUA